ACGAUGUUCCGCUGCAAUGAUGCGAAAGCAUUGAUAAGAGCAUCUG
rfam:Bacillus endophyticus strain Hbe603, complete genome.